AAUAUCUUUGAAAGCGGUACUGCUAAUGAAAUUACUCGUAGUUUGGAUGAGAAACUUACGUCAAUGAUAGUCUUGAUUUCAUGUUACGACCAUGACCAGCUUAAUUUCAGUGAAUGUGACGUGAAUAAUUAAUUUGCAUGGACUGGAAAAGAUUGUUGUGCUGGUUUGAUUGCUCCUUUAGAACCGAAAAAGUCAAUGUGGAACAAGGAAUGUCUAUGUAAGUGUGUUACAACCUGAAGUGGAGCCUCCUUCCUCCUCUUGACAAAAGUCAGAGCGACCUUACUUCGCCAACGUCAGAGGGAGGCGCCUCACGCGGCCACACUCGUACGGGUGGCUGUAACCCGAGGAAGUACGGACACCCCCGAGCUCGUUCCCUCGCGACCGCCCACAUCCCUGUCUACCACUGCCUCGUUGCUCUACCUUCGCCGCCCUAUCAUUUGGAAGCACCCUUAAUUUCACCUACUAGAUCUUCGACUACCGGCAAUAUGUCACUUGUGUGGAUGAACAUCAUCCAUUACUACUGCAGUAAGCGUAGGAGAAAGGUAAGACGGACAGAUAUUGCUCAGUUUGUCAUUUAUUUUAAGUACCUCCUUGUGUGAUAUAGAUUUGCAGCAAUAACUUUCUAAGUAUAUUAUCUGCCUCAUGACUAUCUUAGUCAUGACACCGGUACUUUGAUUUGUGAA